UUUUGAUGAUGUCUCACUAAUUUCACCCCAGAAAAAAUUUUCUGCAUUUCACAUCACCGUUUUUCCUCUUCACAUCAACCCUUGUGAUGACAAUUUCCCUGCCUCAUGAAGCUGGUGAUAAUGAUGGAAAUCUGUGAUUAGACCCUUCUAGCCAUCAUGACGAAUAUUGAACUGAGAAGUACUUGGAGGAAUUGGACUCACCCCAAACAUUGGAUACCUGAAAGAAGAUCCGUUAAAUGCCUGGUGGUCUGUGUCCUAACAAGCCAGACAGGCAAGCCUGAUGCGAACUGAAGUUGGAGAAUCAUUGUUGUAAGGUAAUCAGGCAACAAAAGAUCUUUUUAAUUUUUUUUCCAUUGAGAGUAUCCCAAUUAGUACCCUGUGGUAAUCUUUCUCUGUGGCCUCUCCCUAGAUUCUCUGAGUGUGUCAGGAUAUACACCGGGUAAACAAAAUCCUCCAACAAGGUGGGAGAAGGGAAGUGGUCAUCUCAAAGCCCAGUAUGCAAACUUCUAAUUAAAACUCUGAUUCCAGCGCUGUGCCUAUCUGUUUUGCCUAGCUUUCUUGAUUCUAGAGUGUCUUUGAUGCCAUUUCAGCUGAAAUUAAGCCUUCUCUUUAUCCUCAAAGAUCUUCAAGGAAGGACGCUGAUGUAGGCUGGAGACGGGUGGGGGCAACUGAUACGUGAACAAACUUUCACAUUUCGUCCCUGUGCUUUAACUCCUAUUUUCUAGAGAACCUAGUGUUAGAAAAGUGCUUAGAGAAGUUUACAUAGAGAUCAUUUUUCAGCCUUUUCUUUUUUUUCUUUAAACAGUAAACUAAAUAGCACAGUAAUUGAUUUCCCUGUUCUUUUGGGUUUUAUGAUGAUAGAAUGUUGAACCUUAUCUCUUUUUAAUUGUCUGGUUGUUCCUCUGCUAAAAUAAUUGACAGUCUACCAGUUAUCAAAUUUACCUUAUGGUAAAAUUAUUUAUUUUGAGGUACUUAGGUUUGGGAAGUCAAGAUUCAAUAGUUCCUACACAAGUAAUUAUUGAGUAUCUACUAUGUUCCAGAUGCUGAGCUAGAUGCAGGAUAACUUUUUGUUGCCAUCUCCCAUAGGAGACUGACAAUCAAGUUCACAGGAAACUUUAUACACCCUUAGGAGAUCAAAUAAUAAUGCAAUUUAGUACAAGCAUGUUAUUCUGGAAUAGAUAGAUGUCAAGGGGAAUUGGAGUUACUAAAAUGACUUUAUUGAACUGAAAUGAAGAUUUGGG
rnacentral:lncRNA from 1 species